rnacentral:rRNA from 1 species
UACAGAGGGUGCGAGCGUUAAUCGGAAUUACUGGGCGUAAAGCGUGCGUAGACGGCUAUCUAAGUCGGGUGUGAAAGCCCCGGGCUCAACCUGGGAAUUGCAUUCGAGACUGAAUAGCUAGGGUACGGUAGAGGGAAGCGGAAUUUCCGGUGUAGCGGUGAAAUGCGUAGAUAUCGGAAGGAACAUCAGUGGCGAAAGCGGCUUCCUGGAACCAGUACCGACGUCAGGCACGAAAGCCGUGGGGAGCAAACAGGA